rnacentral:rRNA from 1 species
CCUACGGGUGGCAGCAGUGGGGAAUAUUGCACAAUGGGGGAAACCCUGAUGCAGCGACGCCGCGUGAGUGAAGAAGUAUCUCGGUACGUAAAGCUCUAUUAGCAGGGAAGAAAAUGACGGUACUUGACUAAGAAUCCCCGGCUAACUACGUGCCAGCAGCCGCGGGAAUAAGUCGGGGGCAAGCGUUAUUCGGAUUUAUUGGGGGUAAAGGGAGCGUAGGCGGCAGCACAAGUCUGGAGUGAAAUCCCCGGGCUUAACCCCGGAACUGCUUUGGAAACUGUGUGGCUGGAGUGCAAGAGGGGUAGGCGGAAUUCCUAGUGUAGCGGUGAAAUGCGUAGAUAUUAGGAGGAACACCAGUGGCGAAGGCGGCUUGCUGGACAGUAACUGACGUUGAGGCGCGAAAGCGUGGGGAGCAAACAGGAUUAGAUACCCCAGUAGUC